rnacentral:rRNA from 1 species
AUGUUUGCCGCGAACCGGAGCCUGCUGUGGCAGUACGCCGCCGCCGCCGCUGCUGCCGCGCUCCGGCCUCCCGUUGCCGUCUGUCGAGCCCAAUCUCCGGCGGCCAGAGCCAUCAAGAAGCGCAAGAAGCGCCAUGAAGGGGACGCCGUGGGCGUCAAUUCGCUGGACGGGAUCAUUGUCGUCGACCGCAGGCUAAGAGUGGAGGAGGAUCUUGGCCGCGGGGAGAGGUUUCUGGCCGCGGACCAGGGCCCGCCGCCGUGCUCCGCUGCAUCGGCGAUCUGGCCUUCCGUUGCCAUCCGUCGGGCGCGAUCUCCUGCGGCCAGAGCCAGCAAGAAGCGCAAGAACUAUCAGGAGCGCGAGUUCUUGGCCGGCAUCGAGUCGACGUCGCCAUCGCCGUGGGCAGAGGCCGCCGCCGCCUCCUCUCUCCGGCCUCACGUUCCCAUCCGUCGGGCGCAAUCCCCCGCGGCCAGAGCCAGCAAGGAGCGCGAUUUCGCCGUCGUGGACCGCAGGGUGCGAGGGGAGGAGGAUCUUGGCCGCAGGGGGAGGCUGCUGGGCGCGACCAGAGCAAGCAAGAAGCGUGAGGGCGGCGUGUUCUGGGCCGGCAUGGAGUCGACGUCGUGGUCCGCGGCGAUGCCCGCCCCGGGCGUGGACUCGCUGGACGAGAUCGCCGUCGUGGACGGCAAGCUGCGCGACGUCCUGCGCGGCCUCAGCGCCUCCGCCCCGGUGCGCAUCUACGGGAAGCGGCUGUCGAAGUCGGACCGGGUGACCAACCAGCACCGGCUGCUCAUGUCGUGCCGCAGCUGGCGGCAGGGCGAGCCGUUCCCGUUCGACGAGGUGCUGACGGCGGAGGAGAGGCCGUCCGUGCAGGUGCAGGCCUACGACCGCGCCGGCCGGCCCUACGUGCUCGACUGCAAGAAGCUGGAGUGCAACAAGGCGUACCGCCUCAUCGCCGGCUGGAGGAGGUUCCUGACCGAGAAUGGCCUCGCCGUGUCUGACGACGCCAGGGCCGAGGACCUGGAGCCGGCCAUGGUGGAGCUGUGGGCGUUCCGCUCGCCGGCGCUCACCGUGGGCGUGGCCGGCCAGCCGCGCGGCGCGCUCGGGCUCGUCGUCGUGCACUACCGCCAGGGGGACGCCCCGCACGCCGACGCCGCCAUCGCGGAGGUCCUACUGGCAGCGGCCAGGAACAGAGCGGCGAUGCCAUUGCCGGCCGCGGUGCCCGCCCUGGAGCACGCCGUUGGUGACCCCCGUGAGGACGCCAUGGAAGAGGCUGAUGAUGGACGAUGGCCGGACGCGAGGACGCUGGAGGCCGCGGAGGCGUUGCUGAUGCUGAGUGAGAGUUGA